CGCCGCGUGAGGGAUGACGGCCUUCGGGUUGUAAACCUCUUUCAGCAGGGACGAAGCGCAAGUGACGGUACCUGUAGAAGAAGGACCGGCCAACUACGUGCCAGCAGCCGCGGUAAUACGUAGGGUCCGAGCGUUGUCCGGAAUUACUGGGCGUAAAGAGCUCGUAGGUGGUUUGUCGCGUUGUUCGUGAAAACUCACAGCUUAACUGUGGGCGUGCGGGCGAUACGGGCAGACUUGAGUACUGCAGGGGAGACUGGAAUUCCUGGUGUAGCGGUGGAAUGCGCAGAUAUCAGGAGGAACACCGGUGGCGAAGGCGGGUCUCUGGGCAGUAACUGACGCUGAGGAGCGAAAGCGUGGGGAGCGAACAGGAUUAGAUACCCUGGUAGUCCACGCCGUAAACGGUGGGUACUAGGUGUGGGUUUCCUUCCUUGGGAUCCGUGCCGUAGCUAACGCAUUAAGUACCCCGCCUGGGGAGUACGGCCGCAAGGCUAAAACUCAAAGAAAUUGACGGGGGCCCGCACAAGCGGCGGAGCAUGUGGAUUAAUUCGAUGCAACGCGAAGAACCUUACCUGGGUUUGACAUGCACAGGACGUGCCUAGAGAUAGGUAUUCCCUUGUGGCC
rnacentral:rRNA from 1 species